CGUACUCUUCCCUUCUUUCCCUUGCCCUUCCAUUUCCUCUCUCUUCGCCGGGAAAUUCAAAUACUUCGUCGGAAAUCUCUACCUGUUGCCGGAGAUCAUUCGGCAAUACCGGUGCCAUCGAGGUAAAAAAACGCUCCGCGGCCUUCUUCCACCGCAUUCUCCGGCGUCUCGCGGAUGUGCGGAUGGUGUUCCAUGUGGGUCAGAUAGUCGAUCUCAUUCGGGCCCGCGCCCUGAAGAUGUAUGCAGCCUUUACGCUUACAAAAAUCUAUUCCAAAAACUCCAUGCCUGAUCAAGCCAUGGAUGUUUUCCCGCGAAUGAGCGAGACUUGAGGGUGCAGCCCGGGAUUCGAUCGUACAAUUCUCUUCUCGAAACGUUCGCGGUGGCAAAAAAAAAUGGGAUAUGGAAAGAGGGGUUGGAACCUGAUGUGUAUAGUUACAGUACCAUGAUCCUCGAUCUUGCAAAAGCUGGGGACUUGAAUGACGCAUUAGAAGUGUUCGAUGAAAUGUCUGAACCAAGAGUGGCACCUGAUGUUGCGUAUUAGAAUAUGUUGAUCGAUGCGUUACUGAAGAAGAAAGAGUAUGAAAACGCGAUAGAGUUAUGGAGGAAGCUGUUGGAGGACUCUUCCGUUUAUCCAAUGUGACCCCACUUACAACAUCAUAUGAUUAACGGCUUGAGCGAAUGCUGGAAAUUUGAUGGUUGCUUCAAGUUUUGGACCAGAGCUACGUUUCGUCUAAAGGUGAUCUGCGGUUAAACAUGUGUCUGCUCAUAGACGAACUGAGUGAGCAGUGGAACAAGAAUUGCUCCGAGAAUUGCUACUUUUCUCCAAUCGGGUGAAGAAAUGAACGAAUCUGCAAUCGCGAGAACUAUAAUCCCGAUCAACCCGAGAUUCCUCGAAAGCUUGCAUUUGAGACUCGAUACUCUCCAUUAUCUGUUUAAUCACCCCCAGAAAACGUCAGAUACAAACCCUUGAGCUUGCGUCGUCAAGGUCCUUCAUGGCGUCUUCUCCAAUCUUGUCGAACUCAGCGUUGGCUUCUUCUGCAAACUUUGU